rnacentral:rRNA from 1 species
GAAUUUUCCGCAAUGGGCGAAAGCCUGACGGAGCAAUACCGCGUGAGGGAGGAAGGCUCUUGGGUUGUAAACCUCUUUUCUCAGGGAAGAACAUAAUGACGGUACCUGAGGAAUAAGCAUCGGCUAACUCCGUGCCAGCAGCCGCGGUAAUACGGAGGAUGCAAGCGUUAUCCGGAAUGAUUGGGCGUAAAGCGUCCGCAGGUGGCAAUGUAAGUCUGCUGUUAAAGAGUGAGGCUCAACCUCAUAAGAGCAGUGGAAACUACAUAGCUAGAGUGCGUUCGGGGCAGAGGGAAUUCCUGGUGUAGCGGUGAAAUGCGUAGAGAUCAGGAAGAACACCGGUGGCGAAAGCGCUCUGCUAGGCCGCAACUGAC